GUGGGAUAUUGCUGGGAGCUUCUGGGGUUUUCCUGGGAGGGGUGGGGGGUGUUUUUUUUUUCUUUGUGACAGCCACUGAGAGGAUGGUGUGAUGUUCCUGGAUUGCUUUAUUAGGUGCAGAUUUGUGUGGGCUUCUGUGCCAUUUUGGAGGUGAGGUUCUUAGCCCAGCCAUGCUGCUGCUGGAGAUGAGAAGCAAUCUGUGGGCCUAAUUAUGGAAAAGAAAAAGGCUGAGUUGAGUUCUGCUUGAUUUUUCUGUUGUUUUCUUGUCUCCUGUUACAGGGUGAAGCCUGCAGUGAGGUGUUCUGCCGCAGGAAUUAGCCCAGUCCUGUGAGAAUCUUCUUCUGAGAGUGGAAGAAGGUGUCUGAGUGCUGGGGACCCUUCUCGUACACGGGAGCUGUAGCUGGGGUGUGCCCUGCACUGUGGCUAGGUUCCCACUUUGCUCCUUCCAGGCCCAUGUGGGGCUGCUUCUUGGCUUCCUUGCUUAUUAGUGCUGCCAUGCUCAAUGCAGUGAGCAGCUCUGGCAGCUGUGACCCUGUGGAGUUAGGUGAAGUCUGCAGCAACAAUUAGCCCACACUUGUGAGAAUCCUUUCUCCAGUGUGGGAAGUGCCACAUGCCGGACCCCAUUGCAGGGUGAGUGUGGGCUGUGGAAGUGUUUCUUACUGGCUCAAAGCAGUGUGCAGCUCUGGCUCUGUGGAGGUGGUAAUGCAGGAUCUGUGCUGCAGCCCUUCUCCCUUCAAGUUCUAGGGAUGAGCAGGAUGAGGCUGUGUCCUGUUGUUCAGGCAGGUACGAACAUAAGAGGCAAGAGUAAGAUUUCCUUAUUUCAUGGUCUGCGCUUUAUUAAUUUUACUGUGUUGCAGGGUGAAGGCUGCAGUGGGGCAACUGGUGGUGAGGAUCAGCCUUUGUGUGUGAGUGGUUUCCUCUGAGUUGGGACUAUAGAGGACGUCUUCCUGCACCAGAGUAUUAUCCUGGUAAAGAGCAGACAACGCGACUCUGGAAGGCUUUCUGUCAGAGGCUGGGUGCUCGGAUUUGCU
rnacentral:lncRNA from 1 species